GGACCAUACAAAAUUUAUGAUACCUCUUUUAGAACACUAUCGGGACACGGCUGGCUUUCAGAUGAGAUCAUUGAUGCAUACCUGCACUGCAUUAUGAAAUUAGUCAAGGUACCUGUGCAUUGUUUGGACGCUGUACUUGGGUCCUCUGUCUUUCAUCGUGGCCAUUUCAGAGUUGUUCAAAAGGUAAUAUGGU